AAUGAAUCUGGGUCGUUGGUUUUGCCCAGCCACAUCCCACUUUUCACUACAGCCGUUCGAUCGAGUAACUUUCUUUUCACCUUUUGCUUGUCUUAUUAGGUCCAUGACGAAUGGGACCUAGCAUGUGUGGGGACGGCGAGCAGAGGCAGCGAGCCCGCUCGUUCACGUCGCCUUUGUCCCCUCGUUUUCCUGUGAGCGUGGGGUUGGUGAAAACCCUAGAUCAGCCCGUGGUGAAAAAAUUCCCCAAUCCGCGGCUCUCCUUUCCUCCCCAAUCCCGUUUCUCCUCCCCAAGGACGACCUCUCUCCUCCUCCCAAUGUUGGCACGCCGCCUCUCCCAGCAAUGGAGCCGGACGGGGACGGCCGAGGUGGCAGGCCGGAGAAGGCGACGCGGGCGGGCAGUAUGAGCCGCUGCCCGUGUACCGCGGAGGGAGGUGAUCUCCAAGGCCGCUCGCCGCGAGGGAGCUCUGGCGCGCCCCUUCCUCGCCCGCGUCUUUGCUUGGCCGUCGGCGGAGGCGGCAAGCGCGCGUCUGGGUGAGCUAGAGCUUUUUCGUUUUGGUUCUUGGUUCAUUUGGGUGGUUUUCUGUUCCGUUCUUAUUCCCUGUGCUUCUUGGUGGUGUUUUGGGAUAUGAUCUCUACGGUUCUUUAUUUCCUCUCUGUCUUUGAGUGCUCCGUUUGAUUAUUUUGUUCCUUUUCGAUCUCUUCCUCAUCUGCCUCUUCUUGGCCAUGGAGGGCGCCAUCACCCAGGGCCAACAAAAGUGUUGGCUUCGAACGUAGGUACUGCAGUGGAAAGGAGACCUCCAAUUGAUCCCUCUUUCCCAAACGCUCAACGGAGCAACAGAGGGAAUGACAUGAUUUUCGAUAUUCUGCUUACCUAUGCAUAGAAGGUGUUUGACAGAAUUCCAAGCAGGUUGUUCUCAUAUUUUGUCAUGGCCGGAGCGAGUCAACGGGGCUGGACCAGAAGCAAAUAAGCAACUGGUCCACCAACCAUAGUAAGCGGCACUGGAAGCCGGCGGCGAAGGACAUUUCGUACUCGACGGACAUGACAAUUGGUGGCACGGAGGAUGAGCAGUGAGAGGAACUGCUGCGUAGGCCGCUUUGCGUUGGGAGGGCGUGGCUGCCGCUGGAUCCAUCGUCAUCGUCAGUAUAGGAUUAUUAUUUGCUUCAGAAUUUAGAUGGCCAGUACUUACUCCACAUUGAGGUAAGGAAAAUUUUCAUGUUUUUUCUAUGCGUAUCCAGCAAAUUUCAUGAGUACUUGCAUCUAUAUAUGCAGCUAAUGGUUUCUCAUUCUCGAUGUCAGUUCGAUUGUUCCUAGAGAAACUUUCAGUGUAGCUUAGUUCAAAUGGAAUGCGCCUUUGUUGAAUGGAUGCAUGGGCAAAACAAUUUAGCCUUUAUUUCGAUUUAUUUUAUUGUCAUUAUCCUACUUAUUGCAAAUUAGUUUGUAGGUGGCAUAAAGUGCACUAUUUAAAAUAAAUCCAGCCAGCAAGCAAUUUGAGUUGUGGCAUUUUUUUUCUUUGAAGUUUACAGCCUUCGACUGUGCUAUUUUUCUCCAUGUUUGUAAUUUCAGAUUACAAGCUACCUUGUGUUGAUGUAUUUGCAAGCUAUGAAGAUUUGCGACCGUUCUAAAAUUCCAUUUCUCAUCUAAUGAGGGGAAAAGAUCCGAACCUUCUAUUUGUUAUGGUUGAUUUUAAGACUUGGAUACGGUGUCUUACGCACAAGAGUUGGUUGAUCAUACCUAUGAGUAAUCUGGCUCUAAUUAGUGAUUACCUUAUUGGAAGGAUCCAUGCAUUCUGACGUCAUAUAGGGCAACCAUAUGAAUCAAACAGUACGCCGGCGAUGUAAAUAUACUUUUACGGAUGCGGGAGGGAGAAGGUAUUCUCUCCAUACCUUAUCAUUUAUUUCUUCGUAAGCACAUUCUUUUGGUGAUUCUAAUUAGUUAAGCGUGUUGGUAUCCACUAUUUUACAUUUUGGGACAGUUGUGCUAACCAAAUCACAAUCAGCUAGCUGCUUUGUGCCUGGUGUUAAAUAUUGAAACCUCUGCACUCUUUUAAAUUUUUGGACGGUUGGGCUAGCAAACCCAAAGUCAGAUGGCUGCUUUGUGUCUGGUUAAAUACUGAAAUCACUGCAUAAAUAUCACGACUAGGUACUAUAUUUUAUUUGUUGCAUACUAGAAAAUCAGCUUUUAUAUCGAAUAUGCUUCUGAAAUUUUUAGUGCCAUCUCCAUACUUGUAUUUCUCCAGAAUUUUCUAUUGAGAUUUUGAGUUUUGAAAUGAUGCUGUGAAGUAUAGUUUGAUGAAAGUAAAUUACCUGGGUGGUCUUACAGUGAGUAAAGUGAAGUUGGAUGAGAGGAUUUGGUGUGCCUCUGCCCUGCUGGCUGGGUCACUGGCUCACUGCCUGCUCGAGGCUGCUGGUACAAGUAUUGCAAAGAUUAAUGUGUUGCUUGAGCCUGCCAUGUGUGUUGACAUUUCUUCGGGGCUAUAUGACCUGCUUUAUUUUACUUCUGUAUGCAGAUUUGGCUACAAUUCUGGAUGAUCUCAGCAAUACUUAAUCCAUUCCUCAGGUUUUUUUGGGGCGGGAGUGCAGGUAAGCCGGCCGCGCGCGGCCUCGGGCGACCGGUUGACGAUGCUGGCGGCCCCAUUUGCAAUGGGUGGACGACUCCGCUCAAAAGCAAAAAGGCUGCCGCUGCCGCUGACCAUGAUCCCAGUUCCCAGGCGCCCAGUAGCAUGCAAGGGGCAAAGCACGGUGUAGCUUUACUGCACUCAAAAAAAGAGUAGCAUCACCGAGAGAGUCCUAGGCAUGAGUGAAAUCAAGGAUGUCUGGGUUAGUAAAUGUAUAUCAUCUGAGUCACACUGGUCUAUGCGCCAUCAGCACCUUUGAGAGUGGCACUCUUUUCCGAUUAGGGGUUUUUUCCAGGCUCAUUACACUCAGAGGAUAUAUGACCUACUCUUCUUAACACCAGGAGGAAUGAUUUAAGGCAGCUAUUGAGAAGUGAAAGCUAGAAUGUUUUAAGGCAGUGUUGUUUUAUACAUACCGGAAGAAGCAAAAUUGUUUCAUGGGACAUGCUUCCUAUGUGCUGGUAUCUAUGUAUUGUCAUCAUUGCUUCCCAGUUAACCGACUUGUUGUCUGGUUGCAGUGAUAUUAGUGUACAGAGGUAUAUGUUUGUGUAUCAUGUCAUCUGAUACAUCAUAUAGCCUGUCUUUGAAACACUGGUAGUACCAUACCAUUCCAAGUCUGUUCAGUUAAUGAAGUACAUAGUCCUCCUAACUGCAGAGGAUUAACACUUCCUAUUAAUAAAUGACUAGGCUGUUUGCACCUAAUAGACUUUGGCACACACAUUACAAUAUAAUUUUUUGGUAUGCAUUUCACCUCAGGGGGGAAAGUCUGUGGGGGUAGAGGGCUAUAACAUUUCACAAGUAUUGCAUUGGCACUUAAUGAGUUUGUUCUGGUUAGUAUUUUCAAGCUUGUCACUGUACUUUUUAUUCCGAAUUUUGUGAGCUUGAUUCCCUGCCAAAUCUUAUUACAACAUUCAGUGUGUCCAUAAAUAUUUAUUUACAACAUCCAUCAAGCAUUCGAAAACCUGCCUUAUGAAAUGAGUAGAUUUGUAUUCAUGUUUACCUUUGCCAGCUUCCAGCUUCAGUAUAUAUGUUCCUACCGCCAAGUAAGAUGAUUUUUUCCCUUCAAUAGUUUUGUAGAGAAUAUAUGUGUCAACUAUUAGUGUUGCUAAUUAUAGGAUGAUAUAUAUCUCUCUUUCUCUCUCUUUGGUUUGGUGAAUAAUGAAAGGUAAAUUUUGAUAAGUUUGUGCACAGUGUAUAGCCUUAGUUAGUCAAUAUGCCUACUGUGUGGCUCAAGUUUCCAGAUCUGGUUCUGCUGAAGAUUUGUGUUGACAGUAACAUGAAUGUUUGAACUCAUUUGCAUUUCACUAUUUCUUAUAGUUCUUUAUCUCACGAUUCAUGCUACUGUCAAGAAUAUAUAGUUCAGAAUUUAAACAUGCAGAUAUUUCACAUUGGGAUUUUAAACCCCAUGAUAGGCUACUCCCAUUAUACUUGAUUUGUUCUGGUUUAAGUAGUGUGGUUAAUGGUGAGCCUGAGCCUGUGAUGUGAUGUAUUCAGGUCUGGGUUGCCAGGAGCUCUGAUGUUUGCUACACUUAAUUGUUAUGCACCAUAAGAUCAAUUCUGAAGGAAAGAAUAAUUAAGUUAUGUUGGCUUUGGGCAAAGAAGAAACAUAUAUACUUCUCUGCACCAUAUUUGUUGAUAGCUGGUAUCAAAAUUGAAGGUAACUUGACAGGGUUUGCUAAUUGUUUGCCAGGAAAAUAUACUCCUCAGUACAGGUGGCUUGAAGCGGAGUCCCCCCAGGUAAACAGGAGCGAAACACCAUGGUUGAUCGUUCUGAUGCAUGCUCCAUGGUACAAAAGCUACAACUACCACUACAUGGAAGGUGAAAGCAUGCGGGUGAUGUAUGAGCCAUGGUUCGUGAAGUACAAAGUUGAUGUUGUGUUUGCAGGGCACUCCAUGCCUACGAAUGGACAGAAAUGACACUACUCCGGACAAAAUUGGCGAUCCGCGGCCACACCACCAGGAACAUGAAGCCCCGCUUCUCCUCACACCGUCGUCCGCCAUGGAGAAGAAACGGCUAUCAUCUGCCACGGAGAAGAAAGCUGUCGUUCGAGGAGAAGAAACGGUCGUCGUCCUCCGUGGAGAAGAAACAGCCAUCGUCCGCCACGGAGAAGAAACGGCCGGCCGUACCGAGGAAGAAACUUGCCGUUCGAGGAGAAGAAUGGUCUGCUGUGGAGAAGAGACGGCCGGCCGCCGCCGAGGAGAAGAAACCUGCCGUUCAAGGAGAAAAAAGGGCCGCUGUCCGCCGUGGAGAAGAAACGGCAGUCGUCCGCCAUAGAGAAGAAAUGGCCGGCCGCGGCCGGGGAGAAGUCGCCGUCGUGGCCAGCCUCCGCCGAUCCCUCGGCAGUAGGCUGCAGCUUGGUCGCAGCCUCGGAACUGGUGCCGCCGGACGGAGAACCGCCGCGUCGUCGCGCCUCACCUUCUCGACCUAGCACACCGGCGGCGGCGUGUCGGACACGUACAACAGGUUGCCCCUGCAGUGGCGCGGCAGGAAGCUGCGACCGGUCAUCUUGGAGAAGCGAGACACCUUGGCGAGGUGGCCCGGCAUGGGCGCCGCAGCAGAAGGAGAGCAGAUGGUCAGCGCCAGCCACCCGCCGCCAAUGCGGCCCGGGGGCGGCCCGCCGCCGCCCACUGUAGCCGUCGUGAGCGCCGCCACCAUUCACGGCGCACGAGACGCAAAUUUCGUGCACACGCUCUACGGCGCGGAGAGCGGCUGACCCUGGCCGCGGUGCCAGGUGAAUCUUUUCCCCAAACAUUGCUCCUAUUCUCUCUGCUAGCUACCUGAUGUGAUUUUUGAACAUGAUGUGUGCAGGUCUGAGGAAGAAGAGAAGAAGUAUCAAGACACCAAGGAUCUGAAGGCAGCGAGAAUUAAUGAAAAGAAAAUUACUGUUCCAGCUCAUUAGCUCUACAACUACUGAUUAAGCAUCUCCAGAUUCAAGGGGAUAGGUAUGGCUUGAUUGUCAUUGUCUGCUUUCUUUGUGCCCCUCCCCUCUUACAGAGAUAUGUGUUCUUGAAUUUGUAGUACCCAUGUCUAUGUGAGUUAGUUAUGAAGUCAAAAACUAAUUCUUUUGUGCACCCAUGAGCUACUUAUAAGGUGAUAUAGGAUUCUUCUUACAAUUGUAUUAACUUUCCGCUAUUACUGUCCUCCUAUUUAAUUUGCUCCGCAACUGCUCUUUAUUUUGUCCUAUUAUACAAAUUUGUGUAACAACAUCCUUUCAUGCAUGUCCUAAUAUAAUCCACCACUUUUUAUGGAACUCUUUCUGGAUUCAAUGAUGUUCUGGCGUAUCAGCAAAUUACCCAUCUAAGAAAGCUUCUUUUGCUAAUGUCUGAAAUUAGAAUGAUACUUCUAAUUUCCUACUGUGUAGGGCUUUGAAGGUAUCAUUUUGUGGUAUUGAUGAUAAUCCACUGCAUUACAAUGAAUCUGUGUUGUAGAAGAUUUAGCUGAUCUGGUUAUGUACAUUUCGAACAAGGAUUUGAAGAGGUUGCACAUGUUCUGUUUCAGGAAUCAAUCAAAAUAUUUUGUAGAGCACUUGUUAUGUCUUGACAAAAAGAACAUUCGCAUUUCAGUUUGGUUGACUAGCUUCUUUAGGAGGCUCUGAAGGGAAGGCAAUAGACCUUGAUGAUACUAAAUUUCAUCAUUACGCCAUCAAGUGAUCCUUUCUUAGAUGUGCUGGAAAGUCCUAAAGGACUUUUAGUGAGGUUACCGGAAUUCUUGAUGCAUUAGAUAAAUCAAAGGAGACACGGUGCCACCAAAGAAUGCACAUAUGUAAAUAUGCAGGCAAUUCAAAGCAGACACAUAGCAGCAUGUUUCACAAGUUAUCAACAUUCAUUGGAAAAUAUAAAUUACUCCUAUGUUCAUUUAACAUAGUAUAUACUAAGAGUCUCUAUAUUUUAAUAGACAUGGCAUGAUGAUGUAUAGUGAUCUUGGUAUGCAAGUAUGAUCAAGACCACUUGGUCUGGCCUGUGCCCAUUUGUUCUUUGAUUCUUAUUGAAGGAAAUGACACUACUUCAAUUGUACUUAAUGUAUGUGUUGAUGGCACCCUAAAAAAUAUGAUAUUUAUACACAUUUAUUUCUCUUUGCUAUGAACAAAUGGUUGGAUGCAACAAAUGUUGCUCCUGUGUUGUACAUGUGUUAGACAAUUGCUUAAAAGUUUUUAUUUUCUUUUAAAAGGAUUGCUUAUAUAGGCUUAAGGGCCCUCAAAGACAUAUGAAUUCUUGGAAAACUAAACAGACAUCAGCCGAUUAAAACUUAUGUUUUUAUUUUCUUCAAAAAAGAUUGCCUAUAUAGGUUU